GAUAAGAUUUAUUCCACAUAGGUUUUUCACCUCUUUAAAACAUGAAUUUAGACCUUCUGAACACAUCACAGUCUUCUGGCAAUGUUGUGAUGUCUCAAGAGAAUAUUAUUGCAAGUCAGCAAGAAAAGAACCAAUAGGAAAACAAUGAAAGAAGAAACAAAGAAAACAAUAAGAAAACUGCAAAGGCAUGCAAGAUAGGAGAGCCCCCCCAAACUGGGACAAAGGUCAAGACGAAGACUCCUGACUUCAUCCAAGAGCGACCACUGGGUGGGGAGGAAGAUGUUGAACCUUCAUCCAACGACCACCAGAAGGAGCUACAACGCAUGCGCAAAGACGAGGGACAGCAUGCAAAUGAAUUCCCGGAAAAGUAAUGAAUAUGUAACCAAGCCAAAUGAAUAUGUAUAAAUUUGGCUUUUCAAUGUCUAACACUUUUGUCUGGGGGUGUGCGAGCUUGGCAGGGCAAAGACCCCUCGCACCCAGCGUGUAUGCGCAGCACUGAAUAAACAUACCUGCUUUAUAACCUAA